rnacentral:rRNA from 1 species
UACGGAAGGCAGCAGUGGGGAAUAUUGCACAAUGGGCGCAAGCCUGAUGCAGCCAUGCCGCGUGUAUGAAGAAGGCCUUCGGGUUGUAAAGUACUUUCAGUCGUGAGGAAGGUGUUAAGGUUAAUAACCUUAGCAAUUGACGUUAGCGACAGAAGAAGCACCGGCUAACUCCGUGCCAGCAGCCGCGGUAAUACGGAGGGUGCGAGCGUUAAUCGGAAUUACUGGGCGUAAAGGGCACGCAGGCGGUUAAUUAAGUUGGAUGUGAAAUCCCCGGGCUUAACCUGGGAAUGGCAUUCAAGACUGGUUAGCUAGAGUCUUGUAGAGGGGGUAGAAUUCCAUGUGUAGCGGUGAAAUGCGUAGAGAUGUGGAGGAAAUACCGGUGGGCGAAAGGCGGCCCCUGGACAAAAGACUGACGCUCAUGUGCGAAAGCGUGGGGA